UGCCAACGAUGUUUUCGCAACACCUGAUAAGUGUCCCCUAAAAUAUCUCUGGGGACGAUUUUAUAGCGUCACGUCUUAUGGUUUUGGCAAUAUGUGAUAAGCGUCCCUUUAAACACUCCUGGGUACACUUUUGAAGUGUUGCUAUAUUUCUAGCGAAAUAUUAUAUUUUUAAAUAAACCAGAAAAAGGACAAAAAACGGAAUCAACCUUACAUACUAUCGUGAAAACACGAAAUUUCCCUUUUCCUCCUUACAUCUUCUCAGCCAUUCACCACCUCUUUCAAUCGCAAAUCACCAGUUCUAUUCUAUAGGUUUCUCUGCUUCAACUUGUGAAUCACGAUUCAGCUUCAUCUUCAUCUUCAUCGGGUGAGUCACUACUUUCUUUCUAUGAGUUUAGUCUUUGAACAGUCAAACCCUACUCCCAAAUAUCUAAUCUGACAUUCGGCUUCCAAUUGCAAUAGAAUCAGACCAUGACGAACCCUAAUCUCACGAUUCAACUUCCAAUAGCAGUAGAACCAACCCAUGACGAACCCUAAUUUCAUGAUUAAACUUCCAAUAAUAGUAGAUCGAGACCAUGACGAACCCUAAUUCUCACGAUUCAGCUUCCAAUCGUAGAAAAUGUGACUAUGACGAACCCUAAUAUAGUGUUUCAGCUUCAUAUUUCGCAGAUGCAUUAAAAAAAAAAAAACUUCAUAUCGCAGACUCAUGUUAUUCUCUCAAUUCCGGCUCUCUCAGCUUUCUUCUGCUUAUGAAUAUUUGUCAUGAUUAUUAUCAUCGAAGUUGGAUAAGGCUAAUUCACCAACACUGUUGCUUUCACUGUUUCUACUACCAUUAGGCUACAGUUGAGGCGAUUGAGUUGGCACACAUAGAUUGGGACAACCUCAAGUUUGAUUUUCAACCUACUGAUUAUAUUUAUUUCAUGAAAUGUGAUCAAGGUGGAACCUUGUCUAAGGGUGAACUAAAGUAUUUUGGGAACAUUGAAUGGAAUCCUUAUAUAAUUGUACUCAUACUGGAUGAUUUUCAGCUUCAUAUGGCAUGCCGUUUUGCAUCAACAAUUGGAAAAGCCCAAACCCUUUCUCAUUGACAUUGAGAGAAGCUUAGAGAUGAGACCACGAGAGGCGGUGUGGUGAGAACCCUUCAUCGAGACUGAGAUCGUCAUUGAGACUGAGAAUGAUAUCAAGUUGUGAUUUCACGAACGCUUCUGAUUCCCCUACCAUUGUGAACACUUCUCAGCUCCGUCGAGAUUGUGAGCAUCGUCAAGGACUCUCCACUGCGGAUUCGAAUUUGCAACAGCCUUGCAACAACGUCACUAAUCGUUCUGCUCUGAUUGCCUUAGAUGAUUUGAGACGACCACGCUUGCAACAACUCAGUUUCGCAUGUGACUCUUCUAUAUUCAUAGGUUCUGCAUUGGAGCAAUACGAUGAAAAGGGAUUACGAUCAAAGAAAUGUUGGAAUUGAUCAAAACUUUGAAAAGUAUGCAAAAGGCAUGUUAUAGGUGGUUCUUCAUAUGAUUAUGCAACCAAGAUAGUGGGGGCAAUGAGAAGAAAUUUACAAUUUACACCAAAAGUGCCCAAUUUUAGUUGUAUUGGUUUUGAGAUAUUGUCUUAAUUUGUAUGUAAGUAGUCAUGGGAGAAGUAACCAUGACUUUAGGUGUUUUAUAGUAAGAGUCCAUGUUGCUACUUUUUAGUACCCAUAGAAAGGAGGUACUAUGUUAUGCAAUUUUGUAAUACUACAUACAUUUGAAUGAAGGAGUUCAUAUAUUUACCUCAUUUUUAUUUGAAAUA